UGGGGAAUUUUGGACAAUGGGCGAAAGCCUGAUCCAGCAAUGCCGCGUGUGUGAAGAAGGCCUUCGGGUUGUAAAGCACUUUUGUCCGGAAAGAAAUCCUUGGCUCUAAUACAGUCGGGGGAUGACGGUACCGGAAGAAUAAGCACCGGCUAACUACGUGCCAGCAGCCGCGGUAAUACGUAGGGUGCAAGCGUUAAUCGGAAUUACUGGGCGUAAAGCGUGCGCAGGCGGUUUGCUAAGACCGAUGUGAAACCGGUCCCGGUCACAGGCAUGGAAUGCUGAUGUGCAUGGGCAGGCUAGAGUAUGGCAGAGGGGGGUAGAAUUCCACGUGUAGCAGUGAAAUGCGUAGAGAUGUGGAGGAAUACCGAUGGCGAAGGCAGCCCCCUGGGCCAAUACUGACGCUCAUGCACGAAAGCGUGGGGAGCAAAACAGGAUUAGGAUACCCUGGUAGUCCACGCCCUAAACGAUGUCAACUAGUUGUUGGGGAUUCAUUUCCUUAGUAACGUAGCUAACGCGUGAAGUUGACCGCCUGGGGAGUACGGUCGCAAGAUUAAAACUCAAAU
rnacentral:rRNA from 1 species